UACAUUGUUCAUAUCAACUGAGCUAAAUUCAUAAAGACAAUUCACACGUUGAUUAAUCAAAGGACGAAAACAAUGAAAAAAAAGAUAAAAACAAAGUUUCCUUCCUUAAAAAAAAAAGGUUAUUAAAUGUAAUUAAGUUAAGAGAUGAGAGUAAUUUUGGCAAUUUGUACCUAAAAUCCUAACUAUGAACAUAUCGAUGGGUCACUAACUGCAACGUUCACAACAUUUCAAUUUGGGUCAAUUCAAUCCGAUCUUUAUUAUUUUUUUAUUUUUUAUGUAUUACAAAAUCCAAUCUUUAUUUCUUAUCUUUCAAUUUCUUGCUCCUUUACACCUUGUUAUUUUAAUUUCAUUGCAAUUUAAUUUUGUUUGUCAUUUUAAAAGGUGGUACUUAAUUUUUUGAAGCAAACUCCUAAAACAGAAAUGAAUUCAAGCUUUCAGAUCAUUAAAUAUAAGUGAACAAGUGACGAUGUUUUAGCGAUGACAAAAACAUUGUUACCGCGAAGUUAUUGCCGCUUGUGGCUGGUUGGAAAACUGACUCCAUAUUUCAACAUUAUAAGGAAGUUUUCCUACCAAAUCCGGUGGACUAUGCAAACUAGCGGUUCUUCGUAGGUUUGUAAGUUGAACUAAAAGACAGAUAUUCCUAUGUGUUCCGUUCCAGGUUUACAUACACAUUAUUUGACAUUAUGUUAAAAGAUCGAACUGACAAAUGUUUUCAUUUCUGGGACAUGACAUGAUUCAAGAAAGUGUAGACCAUUGUAUUUUGAAUAAAAUGGUACUGUAAUUGGUGUGUCUUCAAUUACAUAUUGAAUGAAACUCUUGUUACAAAAAAAAAAAAAAAAAUACUGAAUUUCAAUUCUAAAGAAACACACCAAGUAAUUAAGAUCUAUCUAAGUUAAUGAAAUAAAUUAAGCCGCCACGAAAAAAGACUUUUUCUUCUUUUGUAGUUUUCCGACUUCAUGCUUGCAGUGAACUUCUCAUCUAAUCUCCGUUUGGCUUCUCUAGCUGAUCCUCCCAAUUUCUCAUCUGGGUAUGAGUACUGAUUCUGCCUCAAAAAGCUUGUGGGUGAGGAAGUUGUUGAUUUGAGGUUUCUUGUAUAUAAACAAAAUGAACGUUUUGUGGAAUCACUUUCAACUUUGCUCUUAUACAAACGUCUCCUUCUAGCACAUUCAACUCCUGGAAGCAUUUUUAUAGAACUCUUGAAAGCAAAAUUUCGAUAAAUAAAAAACAGAAGAGUUGUUUCUAUACUCAGAAAUGGAAUCUGUAUAUAAUAGUAUGUGACAAGAGGAAGAGUUAUUUAAGGUUGAGGAAGAAAGUUAUAGAUGUGAAGCUUCAAGGAAGAUACGUAGCAACAUCGUGGAAGUUUCGUUGUGUGAUUCUUUUGGAUUUAUCAUGUGUUAUUGUUAUUAUUGAGUCAACAAUCAAAGAUACAUGAAGGACACGUCAGUUUGUCGUGUCACUUGUAAAUUAGUUUAGAGAAUGAGUCGAUCAAAAUAUUUUUGUAAAAUUAUAUUUAUAGUAAAGAAAUGGUGGUUAUAUUGAUAGAGUUAUAACCAAAAAAAAUAAAAAUUGAUAAAGAGUUGGACACCUUUUUCGUAAGAUUUUUUAUCUUUUUUCGUGAGUCUCAAAAUUCAACUCAUUUAAAAAUUACUUUGGUUGAAGACUAUAUGAACUUUGAGAUGUUUUCAUUUUGGUGAAUCUUGCAAUCAAUAAAUUUUACAAACACAAAAAUAUUAGGAUUACAUUAAAAAUAAAUAAAAAUUGCUUUUAAGUUGAAAAUUUUAGGAUUACAUUAAAAAUAAAUAAAAAAUUUUAAGAUGAAAAUUUUAUUUAACCCAAAAUAUUAGUUUCUUUUUACUUCAGAUAACAAAGUGGACCAUAUUUGAACUUAAACUAAUAGCGCUACAUGUAUUGUAAAAUAUGGCAAAUUUUAAUAUGGUCCAUUCUUAUAAGUGAUCUCUUGUAGAUCGGUACUCAAAAUAUGUUUAAAAUUGUAAUCAAGACGAGAGAGUUUCUAUGGUACAUUCUUAAAUUAAAGUGUAUUAGUACACCUAUUUCAUAAAUCAAUAAGUUAUCAAUCAUUUUUAUGUAAUAAAGAGAUAUUUAUCAACUUUUAUAUUUUAGAAAAUAUUAUUUUAUAAGAAAAAAUGUCAUUUCAUCCUUUAUAAGAAUCAUACUAAUUUUUUAACAUUUUAUCCAAAAAAAAAAAAAUCAAUAUUCACUAUUAUGGGUAUUAAAAAUUAAAAAAAUUUGAAUUUUGAUUUGCCGAUACUUUUGAGAAAUAAAAUAUAAUUAUUAUAAUUGUAACCAAUAGAAAAUAUUUUUUUUUUUAAAAAAAAAUAACUCAUUAAACUAUUCAUUUAACAUAUGGGUAUACCGAUACACUUUUAUUGAGUGUACCAUAGAAAUUACCUCAACACAAAUGUCCUCUCUUAAAAAGUAGUCUUUGACGAUCAUCUUUAUUUUUAUGAUUGAGGUGCUGACUUAAUAUGUAUAUGGUCAACACCAAUUAUGUGAUUACCUUAUAUGUAAAGAUGGGAGGGUUAUGAGCUAUUAAUUCUGAAGAGUAUCGUCGAUCAUUGUUAGAAUUUCAAAUAACUUUAUAUACCAGUUUAGAAUGGACUGCAAAUGAAGAUUCAAUUCAAUGAUCUAAUAACUUUAUCGUUAAAGCUGCUGUGUUUAUUAUGGAAAAACAAUUUUAGAAAUUAUUUUCAUUUGGUAAAGUUCUUGUCUAAAAAAGUUGACGAAAUCUAAAAAUGAAAGUGUUAUCUUUUCGUGACAGAAAAAUAAACUUCCAUUCAAAUGUUGAAAUAAAGAUGUUACAAUCAAAUUAAUUACAAGUUGAGAUAUUCUUUGUAUCUAUUUUGAGAUCAACACCAAUCAUUAAAAAAGUAAAUAACAUGCAAACGCCAAACGAUACACAUAAACCUCUUUGAAAACCAAAUUAAUCCUAACAACAAACCUAAUUUCAUCCACAUAUGUCUAAGAGUCAAGAAAUAAUGCUAAGAUCCACAAUAUUUAAUUUCAUGAUCGUAGACAUUUGUUGAUGACCGAUUUAGUAAACUCUGAUGUGAGUUUUAUUAGGAGACAAGCCAAUGGUGUUGCCCAUAGUUUAGUUAGGGAAGCACUAUCACAUGCUAGUUUCCAUUUGCAUCUUAACAUUCCUCAUUGUAUAACUACUUUGAUUAAUAAUGAAAAGCUAUAAGCUUCCUUCUUUCAAAAAAUCCACAAUAUUUAAUUUCAUCUAUGUAAGGAAAAAUAUAUUUGUUGGUGCUUGCUCAUAUUGACUAUAAGACAUCUCUGGCAUGAUUAAUCCAACCGCAUGUUUUUUUUAAGAUCAAUUCAACUACAUGUUGACAAGUUACAAAUAAGACUGAGAGGACAUUGAAUUUGGUAACAGCCUCGUAAUCUCCUCACUCAAGAUAUGAUACCCAUAGAAGAGUCGUUCUUAAACAUUUCAACAAGCACGUGGAGGAAAAACUUGGAGCGAACUAAAAAUAACAAUGAAACACAAGAAAAAGAAAAAGAAAAGCAUAAAAGAUACUAUUAACACAACCAAUAGAUCUAAAAUUGGAUAGUGAUAGAGUGAUCAAAAUACAAAAGUGUCGUGAUGACUUUAUAAGGGAUGUUCGAAGGUUCUUUCUGUAAUUGAGGUUGCAAUCCUAGAGAUGAUUUAAAGGUAAUGGAUGAUGCGAAAGACUAUCAACGAGAAAUGGCUUUGUAACUAGGGGUGUUCACGGUGCGGUUUGGUUCAGUUUUAAGGCUAAAAGUUAUCUGAACCACAAGAUAAAAAAAAACAUGCGGUUUGGUUUGGUUCGAUUGACUACCACCAAUCAUCUUAGAUGGAUCAAUGGGUCCUGAUCGGCCAUAUAUACACAAAAAAUUAAAAAAUUAACAUCAUUUCCAUAACCUAAUCAAACACAUUAAACCUAAACUAAACAUAAACAUAAUCAAACACGUUAAAAGUACAACAACGAACAUCAUUUCCAUAACCUAAAAUCAUUCAAUAUAAUCAUCAUUACAAUAAAAUUUAUGUCCAUCAUUUCCAUAAUAACCUAAACAUCAUUCAAUAAUUAACAUACACUUAAUCAUUUCUAUACACUUAAUCAUCUGUGUCCAUCAUAAUUCUCAUAACCUAAACUAACUAAAAAAUCAAUAUACACUUAACCAAACUAUAAUUAACAUCAUUUCUAUCAUUUCCAUAACUUAAACUAACUAAAUAAUCAAUAUAAUUUUCAUUGAGGCAUUUGAUCAAACACUUUGUGUGCAAAGUAUAAAACAUAUUCAAAUUGUUUUCAUUUGCCACCAUUCAAAGCCACAUUAUGAUUUAAACUACAUAGGCAACAACUACAUUCAUUUAUCAAUUCAUAAACUACACAUGCAAUCAUCAAAUUGUCAAUUUUAAAAUUAACCCUAACCACAUGCAAACUACUCUAAUUUUUUUUAAAAAAAUAAACCUAAGCAAACUAAUAUUAUCAUUAAAAUGAUUGAUACAAUUUACUUGUGAUAAUGUGCAGUUGAUUUGUUUGCAAUUCGUGAAAAUGGCUUUGGUGAAGAUUGGAAAGAAUUUGAGAAGUCAUGAGAAGUUUUGAAACUGAUAUGUGUUUCUGUUUCUGCUUAUGUUCAGCACGUCUCGGCAGUUAACUACUGAAGUUUUCCUCGGCAGUUAACUGCAGCCGGAUUUUUAAUUCUUCUGCAGUUCCGAGAAGGCAUUUACGUAUUUUACUUGUGUGCCUCAGCCUUAUGAAAUGUGUGAACAACAAUUUUGAAAAUGUAAUCAGGAUAUGCAACCAUAUUUACAUUUCGUUCACUCGUUGAUAUUUUUUUGUUGGUCUGAUUAUCAUUAGUACAAUCAACACAAUUUAUGUUAUUUUAUUAAUCAUAAUUGUUUAAUUAUUUUAUUUUAGUAAAAUCAAAUUGUUGUUGUAAGCUUAGUUGAGUUGGUAAAAAUAUUUAGUGGUAUGUAAAUGUUGAUGUUCGAACCUCAAAUUUUAUAUUUAUUCGCAUUAACGUGUGAAUUUCUAUUCAAUAUGUUAUUUGAACAAAUAAAAAAACUCUAAUCUUCCAUAAAAAAAAAGCUAAUCUUAUAUAAAUAUUGAUAUCCAUUUUAGUAAUUUUGCAUUCAAAAUCAAUUUUGAUCCAAUUUAUCCAAACAACAUGAAUUUAUAAGAAUCACUUUUAUAUAUUAUAUCUAAACAUCACACGCAACUAACUUUUAACUAAAAUCAAUUCUAUCAAAUUUAAUUAUCUCCACCGUGAUACCGAACACACACUAAGCUGGUUUUGGACAUAAGUUUAGUUGGUAGAUAUUAUUGUUGACAAAAUUGUUGUAAAGAGUGAUAGAGAAAUGAUUAUCUUAUAAGUUGUUGUUAGUUGACAUAAGCAUAUACGAUGGUUGGUAGAAGUUGAUAGAGAGAUUUAAAAAAAAAAAAAAUGAUGGAAGUUAAGGGGUCAUGCUUUUAAACAAAAAAAGUGCAUUUUUUAAAAUAAAAAAAAAUAAACGAUAUUCAUUCAUUCAAAUCGAUAGAGUACAUCAGAUACAAACAUCGUUAAAAACGUAAAGGGUGAAUCUGCGAACAAACUCACAAAAUCCAAGUUAAUAGCAUACAACGGCAAAAUACCUACAAAUAAUAUGAUAAAACUCAAGUCACCGAAAUACCCAUGUUUUCGGAUCUGUAACGUUGACGUCCAAAUAAUAAUAUGAUAAAACUCAAGAUGUAGAUGGGUGAUUCUAGGUCAAAAAAUGACAUAAAACCACCCCUCCUCGAUGUACGAAUGAGAAAGAAAGUUUAAAGAGAAGUUGGAGUUUUUCUCACUAGAAAACUAGGGUCGGCUGUGUGUUUGUUUUGUCGUAAAAAAAUAAAUAAAAAAGUGCAUUUAAUUAAUAUUUAUUUUUUUAGCCAAGACUGCAGGGGUAACUGUUUGAGAUGAAAAAUGAUAAGCUAUAAGUUUUAAGCAACUUGAACAACUUUCAAUUAAACAUGCUUAUUCAGAUUCUGACAACAUAGCAAAGUAUUUAUGAUCACCUACCCAUAUAUGUCAUUCUAAGAACAAAGUUUUCAUGGAAAUGAUAAGAAGCAAGUUGAGAGGGUGAAAGGAAAAACAUUUAUCCUUCUCUAGUAUGGCUGUUUUAAUCAGGACAACGUUCCAAGAUAUUCCUACCUAUGUUAUAAGUUGCUUUUUGAUUCCUCGAGGGAAUUUGUGAUAGAAUUAAACAAUCUAUAUGUAGGUUUUGGUGGGGAGGAACAUAUAACAAAAGGAAAAUUCAUCGGAGGAAAUAAGAUAAUUUGUUUAGGUCCAAGUAUAUAUGAUGGUGGACUUGGGUUCAGAAACAUAAGGAGCUUCAUUGAAGCAUUCUUGGCUAAGCAAUUUUGGAGGCUUCACACUGAGCCUAUUACUAUGCUUGCUAAAUGACUCAAGGUAAUAUACUUUCCCCAUGUUGAUAAUGGGUUUAAAGUCUUAACCCAAAACUUGGAAUAAAACCUUGUUUGACACUAUUUUUCAUAGUAAUGAGAGCAGUCAAAUCAAGCAACGUUCUCUAAUCCAAGAGCAAAUUGAAGAUAAGUUUAUGUGUAUGUUUUUCAAGGAUGGGAAUUAUUCUGUAAAAACUGGCUAUAAAGCAUCGAAGAGUCAUCAUAGAGGUGACAAAAAGAUUUGGAAGAAAUUAUGGAAUCUCCACACUAUACCUAAGCACAAAGAUUUCCCAUGACACAUUCUUAAAGACUCUAUGCAUGUCAUGAGUGAGUUAAAUCAUAAAGGCUUGGCCGGAGACGUUUUAUGCCCUAGAUGUGCCAAUAAAGUGGAAAUUGUGAACUAUCUUUACAUGGAAGGUGAUUUUGGUAUGAAGGCUUGGUUUGGAUCUACCUUUGGUAUUCAAUUCCUAAAUAUCAUUAUGUGUGAUUUCAUACACUAGCCGAGACAGAUUAUUGGCAGUUUGAAUGAUGAGGCCAUUAAAUACACAACGUCGCUAAUGUAUAAUAUAUGGUUUGCGAGGUACAGCCUGAUUUUUUAAAGUAAAGACAUUACUAUUUUAGAUACUAUAAAAAACAAGAAGAACACCAUUUUUUAGUACAUACAAUGUGAUAAAAUCAAUACAAACCCCUGAAAAUCAUACUAGGAGAGCCAUAUAACAAACAUAUCAAACGAGGGUUUUGGGAAAAACCCAUAGCAGGGACGGUUAUAGUUAACACAUAUGCAAAUCUAUCACAAGAAUAUACAUGGAGUUUGGGAGCUAUCUAUAGAGAUACAAAUGGUGAAGUUUUGACUACAAUGUCUUGGAAGCAGGAGAGUUUUAAGGACCUUUUUGUCGAUAUGGGAUAUUUUCUAUGUGGGUCACACCACUGUUUUUAUUUUAUUAAAUAAUCAUCAUGAAAAUGACUGUUGUCUUAAAUUGUGUAAACGAUUUACACUUUAUAAUUGAAAUUUUUCUUUUAAAAUAAGGGACUAAAACUUCUUUGUUUUAAAAAUAGUAAGAUCAUGAGUACAUUUAAGUCUAUAUGCUUUAAUUUGUUUAUGACCAAAUAUAAUUUGGACUUUUUUGACUAAAAACUAGCACUAAUGCUGUUGUAAAAGAAUAAGGUGAUAAGUAGGGUACCAUGGAAGAAUGGUGGGUAAUUUACCCUAAUCAAUACAUAUUAGCCACAUAAGCACAUUUUAAGUGGUAUUCAUGAACUAUCUUGACUCCACCAACUAAUUGCUCAUUUUUAUUGGUUGGUGGGUAAAUUACCCACCAUUCUUCAAGGGUAAUCUAGAAAAAAACCAAAGAAUAAGGUGACAACUAGGGUACCAUGGAAGAAUGGUGGGUAAUUUACCCCAAUCAAUACAUAUUAGCCACAUAAGCACAUUUAGAUAUAAAGAGAACAGUUUUCGUUUUGGUUGAAAAAGAAAAGGGUAAAUAUCUCUUUUCGUCCCUGUAAUAUUAGCGAAUUCCGGUUUUAAUCCCUGUAAAUAAAAAGAUUUAGAUUUUGUCCAUGUAAUUUCAGAUUCCUCCUACUUUUGGUCCCUGUUAUUUCAGAUUCCUCCACUUUUGAUCCCUCAUUUUACGUGCCAUGUAUGCAGAUUAUGCUGACGUGAUGGAAUGAGCGAUCAAAAGUGGAAGAAUUUGAAAUUACAGGGACAAAAUCUAAAUCUUUUUUUUACAGAGAUUAAAAUCAAAAUUCGCUAAUAUUACAGGGACGAAAAGAGAUAUUUACUCAAAAGAAAAUAGUAAAAAAGGUGAAGAAUUUUUUUUGAGAGGUAAAGGAGGUUGGAUUGAUAGGGCAUGCUAUACUACGUUUGGCUUACGCAUAUACAAGCCGUUACUUUAUUAUCUGAAUGGAACAAUAUUAUAUUCCAAUUGACGUAAAUACCCUUCCGUAGAAUACGAUACCCCUUUCCGCUCAGUAUCCAACCUCCGUACCCUUUAUCGUCAUUUCCUCUCUCGUUCCUCUAUUUACUACUACACACUCUUUCUCUCGCUUUCAUCUUUCUACUCCUACCAUUCCCAAUCCAAAAACCUUCAACAAUUUUCAUUCAUGGCGGAAGAAGAAGAUUCAACUCUCGAAUCACCACAUUCCCUCAAAUAUAAACUCAAAUCCUCUCUCUGUUUUUCAUGCUGUUUCUCUCACCAUCGCGUGAAACCGAGAAUCGUUCGAAGUUCAUCGCUUCGAACUCAUAAUCGCAAUCACAACAACAACUCUCGCUCAAUUGAUUUGCCGCAUUUAAAGGAAAAAUGCACCAAUUUCAUCUCCCGGAUCGUUCACCACCGCCGCCGCCAUUCCGCCGAUUUCCACUACGACGCUCUCAGUUACGCGUUGAAUUUCGAAGAUGAUGCCAACGACGAGAAGUCUGUUGAUGAUCUCAGGAGUUUCUCGGCGAGAUUACCGGCUUCUCCGCCGUUAUCGCCGAAAGCGGCAGUUAAUGAUACCGUGAAAAUCGCCGCUAUCAGUUGAUCUUAAAUGUAACGGCGCAGAUCUAGAAUUUUGCAAUGCAGGUGCAGGCAUAGGAUAAAAACUCCGAUCCGGUGACGUUUUAGAACAGUUUUUUGGAUUUUGUUAUUUGUGUUUAUGUCAUUUUUUCUUUUUCAUUUUAUUGUAGAUAAUGAAUGUUUAUGGAAUUUAAACGAAAUGAAUAAGAAUUAGGAAAGAAAACAAAGGAUAAAUGUGAAAAAUGAUGAUGGUGGUGGUUUUACUCUCUUGAUGGUGUUUCUUCGCUGUUUUUGUUUGCUACUAUAUUAAUUAUUAUUUUUUCACAAUUUUCAAUUCAAUAUAUUCUAUUUAAAAAAAGUCUUGUGGUAUUCAAAAUCAUUCAAAUUUUGAAGGAUUGUUUAAUAAAUUGGAUUUUGAUGGAUUUUGUGGGAUUUUGUAGUGUAAUUUUAACAAGAAAAAAUCUUUCAUGAAAAUAUGAGAUUUCUUGAGAUUGUUUUUAUUUUAAAAGUUACUAUCUUUUUCUUCUCAUCUCUCUCUCUCUCCCCCUCCCUAUUCUCUCUUCGUUUCUCUAUCUCUCCAUUCUCUCUCUCUCUCUCUCUCAUCUCUCAUCCCCCCUCUCAAUAUUAUGAUAGAGAGUAUGUCGUAAUCAAUGUUCCGCAAAUCGAGUGUUAAAUCUCCGAGAUUAUCGAGUUGACAUUUUUAGGUACAAAAAUCGUGUUAACUCUGAGGUAAAAUCGGUUUCUGGUAAAAUUGGAAGGUUUAACGAGUUUGACUGAGUUAACACUCGGUAAACUCGUGUAACUCGACCGAUUUGUAAUGGCUGACACAAUAUUUUUUUUUUGAAAGAUUUGUAAGUGUUGGCAUAAUUUUAAAUAUGUACGAUUGAAUUUUAUGGGAAUAACAUUUUUAACAAAUAAAAAAUGUGUAUUGAGAAUAAUGUGUUAGAGUGUUUUUUAGUCCCUUAAAAUCUUAUAAAUUUCAUAAAAUUCUUAAAAUUUGAAAAUCUAUAGUAAAAGAAUUUUUUAUUGGUUUUAUUUUUCUUUAUUCAAACGCUAGAAUUUAUUUGUUCAUUAUUUUUAUCAUUCACGCUUGUAAGUUUGCUCUGCUCUUUUUCUCCUAAAAUUUAUUGAAUCUUUUGAAAUUUUAAAAUCACAUGAAAUCCUUAAAAGUCUGUGUGAUAAAUCCUUUAAAAUCUUGAGUGUAUAAAGUCUUUUACAUAAAAAGUCUUUUAAAAUCUCACAGAAUCAAUACAAUUUCACACAGUCUUUUAAAAUCUUAAAGACUUUUUUUAUUAAAAUAGUCUUUUAAAAUCCUAAUCCAAUACACCCCCCUUACAUUUACGAUAGUGAAAAAUGCACAAAUAAUUAAUAAGAACACUUAAAACUAUUUUUCUCUCUUUUUUAUUUAUAUAUUUUUCUCUCUCUUUUAUUUAUAUAUUUGUCAGGAUGGAUGAGUUGUUACUUUUGGAUUUUUGAGUUUUUUUUUUUUUUUUUGAAUAAUGGAUUUUCGAGAUUUUGAGUAGCGUUGAAAAUUGGGAGAGGUGGUGAUGGAUUGGUAAUGUUAACUGAAACUCUGACACAUGACGACUCUAUUCAUAUUUUGUCACGCUCUUGGACCUUUGUUUGUUGGUACUGCAAAUAUUUUACCCAAUAUCUUAAUCUUGUGAAUCAAAUUUACAAUAUUUUAAACUUGAAAGUCAAGAACCUUUCCAUUUAUCUUAGAGUAAAUUCUAUGGUACACUUAAAAUUUUGAGUGUAUCGGUACACCAAACAUUAAAUUAAUAAUUAAAUUAGUUAUUUUUUGAAGAAAAAAAAAUCAUUUUCUAUCAUUGAAAAUUAUAAUACUUAAAUCCUAUUUACCAAAAGCAUCGAUAAAUUUAAAAUUGACUUUUUUUGAAUUUUUAUUACUCAUAAAAAAGAAUAUUUAUUAUUUUUUAUGAGAAAAUGUUAAAAAUUUAAUAUGAUUCUUAUAAAUAUUGAAAUGAAAUUUUUUCCUUAUGAAAUGAUGUUUUCUAAUAUAUAAUAUUGACAAAUAUCUAUUUAUUUCAUAAAAUGAUCGUUAAUUUAUAAAUUUAUGAAGUGGAAGUACUGGUACACCUCAAUGUAGAAGUUCCCUUAUCUUAGAGCAUCCACAUCCAUGCCACCCAAAUGGAUGGUAUAAAUGAGACUCACAUAAUAUAUUAUACUAUUACUUUACACUUUUCAAUUAUUUAAAUCAUUUUAACUACAUUUUCUAAAUAUUCAUACCACUCCUCUAAAACUCUAAAAUGGGUCUCACUUAUCUUACAACUACAAUAUAUUUUAAAUUAUAUUUUACAAUAAUAUAUAAAAUAUGUAAUGAAAAUAUAUAAAAUGUAUCACACAAUAGACUCAAAAUGAAUCAAAAUAUCUAAAUAAUAAAUAAAAUUAAAUGAAAAUUAUACGAAAAUAUAUUAAAUAAUGUACUACUUGACACAAAUAAGUUAUAAGAAAAUACAUUAAUAAAAUUAUUAAACGUUGAAAUAAACUACUACCUCAAAAUAUACUAAAUUUUAAAAUAAUUUUUAGUUGCGGUUAUUCUCAUGCCCAAAACGUUCCCAUAUAUGUUCUAUCAAAUCUUGUUGAAGGUGUCGAUGAAUUUGCUUAUCUUGAACAUGGUGUCUUCUACGUAGGAACUCGCGAAAAUCAAUAUUAGAAUCGUUUGAUGGUGCAAUUGGGUCAUUGCCAAGAUGAUCAUAAGAAUAAUCAAAAUUGACACCAUAUGUAGCACGCUCAUCUUCAACAAUCAUGUUGUGUAAUAUGAUGCACGUAUUCAUUAUGCGCUUCAGUGAAUCUAGAUGCCAAGAUCGAGUCAGGUUACGUAUGAUUGCAAAUCGGGAUUGGAGAACUACAAAUGCUCGUUCGAUAUCCUUCCUUGCGCCUUCUUGAUGUUGGGCAAACAAUUUUAUCUUUCCUCCUUGUGGCAUCGGGGUGCUUUUCACAAAUGUGGCCCAUUCAGGAUAAAUGCCAUCAAAUAAAUAAUAACUCAUGUUGUAUUCAGUAUGAUUUAUUGAAUAACGAACCUCUAGAGCUCGCCCUUGCACAACAUCAUUGAAGACAUCAGAUUGGUUCAACCCGUUGAUUUCGUUGUUUGAACCGGCUACCCCAAAGAAUGCAUGCCAAAUCCAUAGAGGUCUUGUGAAGCAAUUGCCUCAAGCAUAACAGUGGGUUUACCAUGAUCACCUCGAACAUACUGCCCUUUCAAUGCGACUGGACAAUUUUUCCAUUCCCGAUGCAUACAAUCAAUACUACCCAACAUACUUGGAAAACCACGUGCCUCCCCCAUCUGCAACAGGUGUUCGAUAUCUUCAGUCGUUGGCUUUCGCAAAUAUUGUGGCCCAAAUACACUGAUCACACCCCUUGUAAACUUAUCGACACGUUUUAGUGUUGCAGUUUCACCAAUUCUCAAAUAGUCAUCCACACUAUCAGCAGAUGUUCCAUAUGCCAACAUACGAAUAACAACAGUGCAUUUUUGUAGUGGUGAAAUACCUGAUCUACUAGUUGCAUCAACCCUCAGCUGAAAAUACCCAUCAUAUUGGCCAAGAGCUUCAACUAUGCGAAGAAAGACAUGUUUAUGCAUUCGGUACCUUAGACAGAACUGCUCAUCCGUGUACACUAGAGUUUCUGAAAAAUAAUCAUUGAAUAAUCGCUUGUGUCCUUCUUCGCGAUUCCUCUCUAUAUUCCUUCCAUGUGAAGAGAAGUAUGAUAUUGAAUGUGAACAAAGAGGGAAGUUGAGAUUUUUUUUUUUUUAAAGGAAUGAAAUUGAGAGAAGUAUGAUUUUUUCCAAGCCACCUUGAGUGCAAGAUUUUAGUGUUGAAGUCUCUUGAUCAUUUGAUUGCACACAACCAUUACCAAUAUGAACCUCAUGAGACAUAGUGGGGUUAGUUGAUUGAGAUGAAAAUUGUUGAGAUUGAUAUUGGUAAGGUGAAGUAUGAUAUGGGUAAUUUCCAAAAGGUAGAUUAUUUUGUGGAAUUGGAAUAAAAGGAGAAUUUAAAAAAAUUGGAUUAUGAUGUGGAUUUGGGUUAUGAGAUGUACUUCCAAAAUAUGAGUUGUUUUGUUGAUUUGGGUUACAAAGAGGAUUACCACCAUUUUGUAUAUAAUUGGACCAAAAUCCUUGAUUGUUGGGGUUCAUUUUCAAAAGAAAUGUGUAGUUUUUUUUUUUUUUUUUUUUACCAUGGAAUAGGAUAAAUAAUCAAAUAUAUAUGUUAAAAAAAAUUAGCCGUUGCAUGAGUGAAAAAAAUAUAUAUUACCGUUGCAUGAGUUAAAUAUGUAUGAAGAGAAAUGUAUAGUUUGUUGGCUUGAAUAAAAUAUAUAUUACCGUUGGGCUUCUCUUCAAUAAUAUAAAUAUUAAUUAAAAGAAAAAAAAAACUCAAAAGUAAUACAAAAUGUGCACAAAUCAGACAAUUGCAGGAAAAGGAAGGUAGUAAUAUAGUAAUGCAUUACUACCAUGGAUAGUUUAACUACUCAAUUUCAAUGCCAAUUAUCCAUGAUCUUAUGACACAAAAGCAUUGGACAGUGUGAUACCACCCAUAUGUGCAGGCGAUGUGCAUGUUCUUAGAACUUAAUAGUCAACAUUAAAAAAAUAAUUCUACCAUUGUUUUGAUUUGUUGCGAUAAAAAUCCUCUAAUUUUUCAAUCCAACAUGAUGAUUUUUACCAUUUAGACUAUGGACUUGGAUUACAACACAAUGCUGUAACAGAUCAAAACUGUUUGAUUUGAUUCAAUGAUCAAAAUGAUAAAAUUGAUGUAUAAUCUGAUCCGUUCGAUGUCACAUCAACGGUUGUGAUUGAUUACAGUGUAAAAUUAUGUGCUUUUUUACAACAUCAAAUCGAGAUUCUUUAUAUAAUGGAAAAACUCAAGAUGUGCUGAACCUUUUAACUUGAUGGUGUGAGUGUGACACCAAGAAAAUCAACAAGUGUUAAUUGCUAUUUGUAUUCUUUUGUUCCAAUCAUAAAAAAAAUGUCUUUAAGAAACAACGAUUGUGAGAGUCGCAUAAAACCCAAAAUGAACAAUACCAUAUAAAUACAAUGUCAUGAACUUGACGUCAAAAUAAAUUUAUUUUUAGUAAUAUAUUGUCUUAAAUACCUUUGUAGUCCCAUAGUUUUUUUUUUUCUUGCCAUUUCAAAUACAUGAAAAAAUACAAUGAAUAAAAAAACAAAAAUACAACACGUUUUUAAGAUAGAAUAAUAAAUACAAUGUGAAAUGAAAUAAAUAAUCAUAAAAUAUAAGGAUUUUUCCUAAAAAAAUAAAUAAAACAGGUCAUAAGGAAUAUAUAGGCCAUGCUUCAGGUAUAAAUGUUCGUGACUUUUAUAUAUAUAUAUUUUUUUGAACAAAUCAAAAUGAAAUACCAUUAAAAACCACAAUGAUUCAAUCUGCACAAGGCGUGCUAAAGAAAGACCACCGAUAAAUAUUUACACAAACAAGCUGCCACUAAAGAAGCAACAAAAAAAAAAAAAAACAGAAAAGAAAUUACACCUGAACACCCAUACACAAAAAUAUAACUAUAACAAAAAGAAGCAUGCCUUGAUUUCAGUCAAAGGAACAAAUUUAACUUAACAAACCAUGCCUAAAUUUUUCAAUGACACCUACAAUAUAGAAAAUAUAAUAAAAUUUUAAUAUCUUUUUGAACUGCACCAACGAUAAAACAUUUUUAUUGAAAAAUCUGUUUAAGGAUAUAAUUGAAAAAAUCCAGCCUAAAAUUCCAUAUCCCUAUUAUAUAUUGUUAUAGAUUAAAAAAUAUCAUGUAUAUAUGUCUAAUAUAAUCAACCCAAGCAAAUUUAUAAGCAUGCCUCUGAAAAAAAUUAAGUAUGUUUUUCUAAAUAAUUAAAAGGCCAUGACCCAUUUAACCGUCUCAUACGAUGCAUUUGUAUUGUACAAUCUUCAGGCUCUAAUAAUUUAUAAAAAAACUUUAUGUGCAUUUAUUAUUUUGAAUAACUAGAAGUAGGUCUUAGCGAUGCAAUGCAUAUGAUAAUGCGUGUUUAUAUUUGAAAGAAUGAUAAGGUGUGUUGAAUUUGGUUUGUUAGUCGAUUUAAAACAAUUGUAAUUAAUUAUUUUAAGUUAGAUGAUUGUUCAAUAAAUUUUUUAAAUUGCUCAACCGAUCGAUUAUGUCGUAAUUCUUGAUUGAUAUAUUUUGUGAGUAAAUCUUAAUCGACAUUUGUUUUAAACAAAAAUAGUUAUAAAUCUUGAGUUGAAUAUUAAUCUAACAAACAAACCGUUAAAAAAAAUAUUGUCAUGAAAAAAGUAAAGGAAUUUUUGUUUUUAUUUUUGAAAUUAAGUAUUCCUUAAAAACAAGUGUAAACUAAUUCAAAGAAAAAAAACACGUGUAAACUGAUUCCCGCGGUACGCACCACUUUCCCGGGAAAAUAUUAAUGAUGCCCUUUUUUUCUUUUUCUCUCUGAUUUUUGAAAAAUGAAUAAAAGAAAGAUUUGAUUUGAUUUGAUUCUAUUGGUUAUUGCGAGAGAAAUAUCGGCACUGUAAAUGGAAGGAAAGAAAUAAUCCUUCAUCACUGAUAAUACUAAAAUCAAUCCCUAUUUUUAGCAUCACAUUCAUAAAUCAAUUGUUUUCCAUCACCAUCAUUCUUCGUUUUCAAUUAUUGAUUCAUUUUAAUUACACUUUUCACAUUUAAUUCUCAUCAUAAUUUCGCAUUGCUUCGUUUCAUUGUGAUCUCAAAUAUCUGAUUCUCGAUCAACAGUUUUAUGCAUCCAUGGCGUUUGAUCAAAAUUCCGUUCCAAAAGAUCUACGCGUAUUGAACGUUGCUCCGAUAAUGAUGGAGGAGCCACUCAUUUCUCCGGCAAGCGUCACCUCGCCGCCGACUCCAGAUUCAGUUUCCGAUUAUUUCUAUCAACCGUCGGUCUCGUCCCCCGCAACGUCAGGAACCUGGUGCGUUCGUCCCAUUGGAUUAAACUAUGGCUCUAGUUUUGGGAACCGUGUUGUUGCUGGGAAUGUAUUGAAUUUAGGAAAUUGGGUAGGGGGUGCAAAUAGUAAUAAUCACAAUAAUAAUAAUAAUAAUAAUAAUAAUAAUAAUAAUAAUAAUAAUAGUUUGCAUAAGGUUGUUAAUGAUGGUGUAACUGUGAAUGUAAAUGGUUAUACUUAUGGUGGUAAUGGUGGAACUAGGUCUGUUGACGAGACCAGCGAUGAUUCAAAUUCGGGUAGGAAAGUUAAGUUUUUGUGUAGUUUUGGUGGGAAGAUUUUGCCUAGGCCUAGUGAUGGCGUGUUGAGAUAUGUUGGUGGACAAACAAGGAUAAUUAGUGUUAAGAAAAAUGUGAGUUUUAAUGAUUUGGUGCAGAAAAUGGUUGAUACUUACGGACAACCUGUAGCUAUUAAGUAUCAGUUACCUGAGGAGGAUCUCGAUGCUUUGGUUUCGAUUGCUUGUCCCGAUGAUGUUGAGAAUAUGAUGGAGGAGUAUGGGAAAUUGGUCGAGAGAUCUCCUGAUGGUUCUGCUAAAUUGAGGGUUUUUUUGUUUCCGUUUUCGGAGGUUGAUGUUACCGGUGGAGAGCAGCUUGGGGAUUUGCAGGAUACGGGGCAGAAGUAUUUUGAUGCUGUGAAUGGUCUUGUUGAUGGGAAUGGGGUGGUUUGUGGUGGGUUCAAGAGUAAGGAGAGUGUUACUAGUGCGGCUUCAACACAAAAUUCUGAUUUGAGUGGGAUAGAUUCUAUUGAUAGCCCAGUUGUCGGUCAAGGGGAUUCAACGCCUUAUGUUUUAUCGCCUAGAGAGAAUGUGGCGGGUUCUCCGGACACAAGUGCAGGUUUUUUGGUUUCUGAGUCUUGUACACCAGUUUACUCAGGUGCUUCGCCUGUUUCAUUUGGCAUGUCUGUGGCUAAGACUGGUCCAAAUCACAAUCCAUAUAUUCAUAAUGAGGUUGAAUUAGAAAAGUCUGUGCCUGUUGCUUUAUCGCAGCAGCCAUAUGAGUUGCACCAAUCUAGAAUGGAAAUCCCACCUCCCUCACCUUAUCUGAACCACACAGAAUCUAGAAUGGAAAUCCCACCUCCCUCACCUUAUCCGAACCACACAGAAUCUAGAAUGGAAAUCCCACCUCCCUCACCUUAUCUGAACCACGCAGAGUAUGUUCAGCUGCCUCCCCAGAUGGGGUUCCCAAAUCAUCAGCUUUUAGGAAAGACGGGGCCUGUUUUCACCCAACAACAGUUUCAUAAUAAUGCUUCCGGUUUAGCUUUCCAUCAGGCCAUCCCCGGAGCACAAAUGACAAUGACUCAACCUUCUUCUCGUCUUGGUAUAAGAUCAAACGUCAUCCAGCCACAACCAUUUAUGCAACCGCAGCACAAUCAUCUGAACCAAUAUAGUGACGAAAAUACAUCAGGCAUAAGGAUUGUCCAGCUUCCUGCGGAACACAACUACAAUACAUAUCAGGUUCCAGUGAAUCAAGUUCCAUCUAUCAUAGUUGGGGGUAAUUGCAGCUGGGUUCAGGUUCCUCCACAAGAGCAUGUUGUUUUCUCUGAUGGGUUAUUACCUCAACAGCAAGUUAUUACCCCAGAGCAAAUCCACAGAGCUGAGGGCUGUUCUAUGUGUCAGAAAAAGCUGCCUCAUGCCCAUUCAGAUCCAGUGGUUCAGGAUCAACACGAUGGCAGUUCGAGUCCAGUUAAUGAUUCAAGCCCAAGCUACAAUAGUUUUCCGAUGGAGGACAACAUAAAAGCGCAAGCAACAAUGAGGGUUGAGCCUAUGGUGGCAUCACCCUUAAAGGAAGGCGUUGUUGAACAAGGUUUUAGCGCAAGACCAGGUGCCAUUAGCAAAUUGGAAGCUCAUAAUGGAGUAAGACCUUCUACUGAUAAUACUGGGAUUUCUAAUAAUUUUGAGCCUCAACAUGAAGGUGGUAGGAUUUUUAUACAAAAUCCAAAAGAAUUUGAUCAUAGCAUGAAUUCAUGUAUCCAAGAAACGAUUGGUAGGAUAGGUGAAAAACAUUCUUCUGGGGAUGGGCUUGGGGCCAUGGGAACAACACCACCAUCAUAUCCAGGUGAUGUUGGCCACCAGCAUAAGGCACCGGGUGAAACCUGGGUUAAACAAGAUGAGCUUGUGAAUAAAGAUGUCAAUAAUGAUAUACCUAUAGUUGAUGGAACGGCUAUACAUACUUCGGAGUGCAUUGCUCAAGUAUCUCCCAAAGAAUACACUAAUGAGCUUACUGGUGUUGUUUCUAAAUCAGAUGCAGUAGAUAGUUGGAUUAGACAGGGAUAUCUUAGAUCUGUUGAUGGAGGGAAUGACACACUCAAGAUUCACAUGGCAGAAGGUUAUGUAAGUAAUGAUCAAUGCAUGCUUCCAAUUGAUAAACCUUUAGAAGACAACACUCAGAUUGCUGCAGAGGAAGAGGUGAUUCUGGAUAACAACUUUGGCACAUCAAAAUUGAUAGUUGACGCAAAUAAAAUUAAGAUGAUAGGUGUGCAGCCAUGUUCUUCUAAGGAAAUUUCAUCCAGGCACAGUUCCAGGACAGGGGAAUACAUUGAUGUUGCACAACCACCUGUGUUGGACAUUACUCAAUCAAAGAUCGUAAACCAUCACAAGGAUGAUUCAACAUCAUCUACAUCAUCACCAUCUUAUAUGUUUGGGGAUAUGCAGGAUUCUCCAAACUCAGUUUUUGGCUAUCAGGAUCUUUGGAAUAUACAACAAGGUACCUUCUUUCCACCUUAUGUACUGAGCAAACCUACAUUGGAGAAAGAAACCUAUUUUUAUAAGGAUUACUUUGGUGAAAAUCCAGGAACCUACAAGAAAUCAAAUUUAGAUGCACAAUUGGAUGGCAACCUCUACGAGUCAUUCAAACAGAAUUUAAAUUUUGAAAAUGGUUGGUGUGACAAAGGUUCGCAAAUUGUUAGUCUAAAAAAUGUAACUAGUUAUAGAUGGUUGCAUAACUCGUAGCACAUAUUCAUUUUGUUUUGCUUUGUUUAUUAAAGGCUCAAACGAAGACCAACAACUUAAAGUUGUUGCUGAAGAUGUAGCAGCUUCUGUUCUGCACCCAUGUGCUCCUUCAAAUCCUAGCUUGCAAGCCGGAGAUGUUUCCCGUCAUGAAAACAUCGAGGAAGGUGAUGUUCAAAAUAAUCUAAUAGAUGCGAAAUGUAGAGAUAUAACUCAGGUGAUUUUGUUUAUAAAUUGCUCAAUAUUUUUUUAUGCCGUUCUCCCCUUCGAUGCUAUUUUGUUAGUAUUAUUUUAAAUGUUAUGUUAUUUUUCCAUUUAGGAUGUCAAGAGCAACCCACCAGAAAAGGGUAACUUUGGCUUUCCGACAUCUGGUGUCGGACGUCUGCAGGUUGAAUGUCUUUCAUGUUUUCUCUUCUAUGAUUUUUUAAAAUCAGCAGACCUGAGCUAACACCUUUUUGUUGGAACUUUACAAGAUUAUAAAGAACUGUGACCUUGAAGAGCUGACAGAAUUGGGUUCUGGUACCUUUGGAACUGUUUAUCAUGGAAAAUGGAGGGGAACUGAUGUUGCAAUCAAGCGAAUAACUGAUAGAUGUUUUGCUGGAAAGCCUUCAGAGCAAGAGCGCAUGGUCUGUAUUUUAUCACUAAGAUUUGCAUUUUUUCCUUCUCUCGUCAGUGAUCGAGAAACUAACUUACGUUGAUUCUCUAUUUAUGCAUCAAAUAGAGAGAUGACUUCUGGAAUGAGGCAAUCAAGCUUGCUGACUUGCACCAUCCAAAUGUGGUUGCUUUCUACGGUGUUGUACUUGAUGGCCCAGGAGAUUCUGUGGCAACAGUAACUGAGUAUAUGACUAAUGGUUCUCUCCGGACUGCAUUGCAAAAGAGUGAGAGGUAAUGUGUGCAUACAUUUAUUAGAAUGUGUAUGUGCAUGUUUGUCUCUUGGUUCCUUUUAAUUACCCUUAUUUAAUUUACUGUUUCCAUAAUGAUAAAAUCAUGAUACUAACACAAUCAUAUCAGGAAUCUAGACAAGCGCAGACGUCUUUUGAUUGCAAUGGAUGUGGCAUUUGGAAUGGAAUACCUGCAUGGAAAAAACAUAGUACACUUUGACUUGAAAAGCGACAACUUGCUUGUGAAUCUCCGAGAUCCACACCGCCCAAUAUGCAAGGUUUAAAUGUUUGAUACUGAUGACCACUUAGUACAUUGUGAUCCAUAUAAGUUAGUUUCUUAUUAAUUCAAGUAACUAUGUGACAUACUUCUGUGCUGCUGAAAUUGAGCAGACAAGUAAUAUCUUUGGAAUGCACUGACGGGGGUUCCCUUUAAAGAACCUAAUAAGCUAGAUUGAUCAUUUCCUGAUUACACUGAUUAAGGGAAUGCAAGCCGUGGAAAUCACUAAAAUACAUCGUGUGAUGUAUUAGAUAACAUCAUUUGAUAUUUUAAUUACGUCUGUGCUAAAGGUUUUGGUUAGGCUACAUGUGAUUGUGAUGAUGUAAGUGAAAAUUUAUAUGCAAAAGGGUAUAGUCAUAUAUUGGUUAGAAAUUUAGAAUCGUUGCUUAUAGGCUACAGCAAAGGUUUUGUUGGGUGACCAAAUUUUCACUACAGUGGAUAUAUGGGAACAUAAACACAAAACAGAAAUUAAUGGGUAUUCAUUUGAAGGAUGAGUCAUAGACUGAUUAAGGUGCUGAUACAUACCCGCUAAACACAGAAAAAUCACACCUAUGAAUGUGUAGGACUGGAUUGUACAUAACAUAAGGUUAUCUAUCCGACUCUAGUUGGGAAGCCCCCAUAAUUUCGUACCCACAAGGUCAUAAUUUUAAGUUGGAUUUAAUGUUUAGCUUGCACUAACUUUCUAAAAUGUAUAGAUGACAGAAAAGUUAAAAUCUGGUAUGCAAUUCUUUCAUCACGUCACAAAUUGGAUUAUGGUUCUUCUAUACACAUUGUGGAGAUAUAAUUUCACUAAUAGAUCCACAUUCACUUUGUUUCUCAUUAACAAGUGGUUUACCAUUGAAAAUCAGACUCCUCCUCUCUACGUUAUUUGUUUUUCUUUGAGUGAGUUUUAUGUUGUUGUUAUUUUUGCUGACUCUUUUUACUUGAACGCUGUUAUUUGUGAAUAUGUUUACAAUCUUUUGAAACAGUGAAUAAAUUGUGUUAAUGUUGAUGUCAUUCACACCAUUACCUACUGAAUUUUCAUCUAAGAAACUAAAUUAUCUACCUUUUCUUUUGUUGAGAAUGCUUCUAGCUUCAUGCUCUGACUCUAUAAGGCUUAUUUCAUACUUUGAAGUUUGAACACAUUUAAUCAUUACUCAGAAAGCAAAGGGCUCUGAUCAUCUUAGAGUCAAAAAGUUUGAAAGCCGGCCUACAUUAUCAGGCUUUAAUCAUGGAAUGUCAAAAUAAAUUUGUUUCCUCCUGUUUAAGCUCUAACUCUCUUUCUUGCCUAUUUUUUGUUCUAAUUUAAUUUCUACGCUAUAUUUCUUCCUUAGCUCAGACUCUCUUUUAAAAAGUUCUGCAAUUUAUGUCAAGCUAGUAUUGAUUAUAUGCAUGGUAAUAAGAAUCUCGAAGAUUUGUUUCAGACUUUUUUUGGUGGUGCACAUAAGAACUGUCUUAUUCUGGUAUAUUCAGGGCAUGAAACUGAAGGAAAACUCUAUGAAAGUUUUAAUAUGUUACAUCUCACAUACUAUUUGAAAAAAUUGUGACUGAAAUUUUAUACCUAAAGUAAUUUUAAUUUCUGUUAUAGUCCAUUGAUGCAUUGACCAAAUGUAAAUCCCUCCAAAGUCACUGAAAAUUCUACCUGUUGAUUACUUUGUAGGAUCAUCUUAUGUUAAUUGUUACCAGGCUUCCCAUAAUGAGUAGUAGACAAUUGCGUAUGCUUAUUUUUGGAAAAUUCUUUGGAAUGCUUCUCUCUAGUGUCCUUUGGUGAUUGAACAAUGACACAGCCUUUAAUUCGCUUCCUGUUCUUUUUACGAAGGAAUUGAUAAUUUGCUCUUGACUAGUGUAGCAUCUUAUUUAGUUUACUGGAGCUUCAUACAAGAAUCUUUUGCUAGUCAAAUCUUUGUUAUGUUGUUUUUGUUUGCCAUCCAACCUUACAUAUGUUUCAUCGUUUUAGUUGUUAUAAACUUGCAAACUUUUCAUUACUUGUCUUAAGUAAGAAGUGUUUGUGGUCCAAUUGAGAUUGACUGUAAGACAUAGGAGGUAGAAACCCCAGCUAAACCAUUCAGUUUCUAUAAUUUGAAAACCAGCUGCAUUGGUUAAUGUUUAUAUCAAAGCAAUUCAAACUUAUUUUGGAUUUGAUUGGACUGUUUGAUUGUGUUUUUAGCUUAGAAUGGUACAUAAAAAACCUAAGCCUAUUUUGUAUAGAGAAUUCAUAAAAUGACAUAAACAUCAGAAACAAAACAUGGUCCAUAUAUUUUUCCCUCAAUUUUCCUUUGACUAGUUUUAUUGUUAUUCAUUACUUGCUUUCUGAUCAACAAAACCACCAUUAUUUGAGCACAGAGUAAUUUGUUUACAGUUUGUUUACAGUAUAGAUCGCAGAACAAUUUGUUUACAGUUUACAUAUUUGCUUGCUCUUGAUAUCAGGUUGGUGACUUGGGUCUAUCCAAAGUAAAAUGUCAGACACUGAUCUCUGGAGGUGUGAGAGGAACUCUACCAUGGAUGGCUCCGGAAUUGCUGAAUGGAAGCAGUAGCCUUGUAUCAGAGAAGGUCUAUGCUUUUACUUAACCUGAAAGGUCCAUGAACUUUUUUUCUGAUAUGUUUUCUUCAUAUUUUGUCACUGUUUAAACUUGUUUUUGUUUUAGGUUGAUGUCUUUUCAUUUGGUAUUGUGAUGUGGGAACUCUUAACUGGACAAGAGCCAUACGCUGAUUUGCACUAUGGUGCUAUUAUAGGUAAUCCAUGGUUGAAUUCUUGAAUUCAUGGUAAAUGUCAAGUAAAUUAGUCUUUCUAAUAUAUGAAACGACAAUUUAGUCCAUUAAAUUGAAUAACAUUGGCUAAUUUAGUCUUCUUUUUUUUUUUUUUUUUUUUAAAUAAGACCGGUAUUCUAAAGAUUCUGUGUUUGUCUUGAUGCCUGUAAGAGAGGAUUCAAGGCAAUAUGUAGGUUUUUAUUGGUUUUGAUGGAUGUUUCCUAAAUGGAUAUUUUUGCGAAGGGAUUAAAUUGAGUGACAUUCUUCAAUUUAAGACAAUUUAAGAGACCAAAAUUGUUUGAUCCUUGCAAUUUAGAUGACUAAAAUGGUGAUUAAAUUUACAAUUUAACUACAUGUCUGAGUUAUUGAACAGUUUCAUGUUGGUUUUCCAAAUAUAAUUCAGGUGGUAUUGUGAGCAACACUUUGCGCCCUCCAAUUCCUCAAUCUUGUGAUCCAGAAUGGAGUUUGCUGAUGGAGAGAUGUUGGUCCUCAGAGCCGUCAGAGAGACCCACCUUCACGGACAUUGCUGAUGAAUUGCGUUCUAUGUCAAUGUCAACUAAACGCCAAAAUCAACAGCUACAACCCUCUUCUUUGCACGCACAACUCAACAAAUGAUUUUUAUUAUGUUCGUUUUAGAUUGUUAUAGAAGCAAAACAGGAGGAUUUGCUUUUUAAUGAAGGAAGUUCUUGCUUUCCAAUUCAUUUUUCCACAACUGUACAGCAUGAUGCUUUAACAUCAGAUUUCUCUCUGGUGUUUAUCAUCCAUUUGACUCACCAAUGCAUUUUGCAGUACGUAUCAUUGAGAGGGGAAGGUUAGGUUGUAUAUUCAUAUUAUUGGUAACCUAUGAACAGAACAUUUUGUUCAUAUUUUGAUAGUAACUUGUUUUAUUGGAUAUUCUAAAAUGUUUAACCAUUUUCACGCAUAUGCAUUGUUAAUUAAUUAAUAGUACUCCAUAUUUUCUUAUGAUCCUUGUUUAUGACAGAAUAUAUUUUUCUUAUGAUGAUAAUUGUUUUUGUUCAUUCAUUGAACUUUCUACUAGUUUGUUUAUUUUCCUGUACCGUGCGUAGAAUGGUUCCCACCCAAUAAAAAUAAGCAAUUAAAGCAUGACACGGUUUGAAACUUUGGACUAUGGUGGGUCAACAUGAAAUGAAAUUUAAUCCUGAUAUAUACAAAAUAAAAUAUUAAUUAAUAUUGUAUUGGAACAUUGGUGUGAAGACGGAAAGAAAUUGGAAGGUUGGAAGAUUAAACAUCAAGUUAUUAAACUUUGAUCUUGUGUUGUGUGAAUUGAAAAAAUAGAGUGUGGGGGUCCAUAUAAAAUAUAACACACACUAGCAGUGUUUAAAUAGUGGUAUUUAUUUUUAAAUACUUAAUAAUGAUGAAAAUAAUAAUAAUUAUUAUUGUUUAUUCAUAGAUAUCACUUCCCGUAAUUUUAGGUUAUGUUUGUCGUGAUAAGAUUGAGAAUCCAACUGAAUGUCCUAUCUUUCCUAGUUCAGAAAUUACACUAAAGAGUUUCAUUGAGUUGUCGGGAAUCUUUCUCUCUUCUCCCUUUCUUGACUUGUGUUGACGAGUCUUUCUUCUCUUCAUCUCCUUUUUUCCGUCCCUUCGGAAUUAAGAGUGUUCUUAAGACUAUAGUCCCUUUUCGGUUUAGAUGUCCCUUUGGAAUUAAGAAUGGUCUUAAAUUCAUAGUCCCUUCGAUAUUUUUAUGUCCUUCGGAAUAAAUAAUAAUUUAAGAUCAUAGUCCCUUUUUCGGUGUAAUGUCCCUUCAAAAUUAUGAAUGAUCUUAAAAUAUAUUCUUCUUCGAUUCUUGAAGAAGUUAGAUGUUAGAAUGGUGUAAAACCAUAUUUGAGUGAUCAUAGUAUCAUAGUUGGAGAUGUUAAUAAUUAGAAUGGUGGUAACACCAUAUUCGAGUGGUCUCAACACCAUAAUAGAGUGGUAACAGUACCAUAUUAAAGUGGUUUCAGUAUUAAAAGAAUGGUCUUGGUACCAUAUUGGAGGUGUAAUUCUCGAAUGGUUUUCUACAGUGCAGUAGUUAAUCGAACAGUUGUAGCUGAACUUGUUUUAUCCUGGAGGCGGCGUGGUUGAUAGUUUGCACAAUUUUGAACAGUGCAACAAAACGUCUUAAAGAGAGCGACCUGAUCGUGAUUCAACCUAGUAAACUUGGGUAGAUGAAUUUGGAAAUCCAAAUACAACAAUUUAAAAAUCCAAAAAGAACAUAUUGCUUCACUUAUCAUCUUCUAUAACUUUUCCCAUUAUUUUUAUGCUAAUAUAAUAUGUUAUUGUUGAGUAUUGUCAGCGUCGAAAGCGUAUAUAAUGUAAGGAACUAACACACGAGGAUAUUUGCUUAGAACCUUCCAUAUAUAUAUUGAAAAUUCAAAUUUGUCAUACGGUUUCUUUGACUUUUCUUCCUUUCCUUCUAUCACCAUAUAUAUGCUUUCUCAAUGAUCAAAUCCUCUAUUAACUCACAACUUAAAAAACAACAUGGCUGCCUAUGAGGGAAGACCAUUGGUGAUGGAAAUGGAAAUGGAAAGCAAACAAGAUUUCGAAGAGACAAACGGGUAUGGAUGCGGGUGCGGAUGGUCACGGAUAUUCACCUCGAAAUGGUGGCAACGCCACGACGAAGAAGGUAAACAUCUACUUAAUGAAAAGAGUGAAGGAAAUAGAGGAGAAGAGACAUGGAUGAUGGACAAGUUGAAGAAGAUGAAGGAGACUUCAGAAGUGAUUGCUGGUCCUAAGUGGAAAACGUUUCUUAGAAAAAUAAGUGGGUAUGGGAAAAAACAACAAAAGCAUAGGUUUCAAUAUGAUGCACAUAGUUAUGCUCUUAAUUUUAAUAGUGGGGCUCAAAGUGAAGAUGAAGAAUAUUUGCCUCCAAGUUUUUCUACCAGGUUUUCUAAUCCUUAUCCAGAUGCACGUCGCCAGAAUGAAACAUGAUAUAUAUGUAAUGUUCUUGUAUUUACAAAGAUUUUAAUUUAAUUGAUUACCUACAUUUGUUAUAUAAUUCUAUAUUUAUUUGAACCGAUAAACAAAUAAAUAAAGUAAGGAUUUCAAGACAAAAAUUCAAGGAAUGAUUCGAUAGCAAAAAGUUAUGGAUGUAUUCGAAAAGUAUGCAAGUGGUAUUGACGACGCGUACAAAGUCGUUUAUUCGUUACCUUUGCCUUAGGACAAAUUAUUUGACUCGUAAUUCCUUAUCGUGUUAGAGGGCAAUUCAAGUUGUCUUCUUGCAAUAAAGGUAUAAAUAAAUAUCUUUGAUUUAUAAUCCAUCAAUCAUCCUUCACCUUCAAUCAAAUUUCCAAAGAAAAGAAAAGGUAUAAAUAAAUAUCUUUUGGCUUAAUUGCAUUUUUGGACCCCUAUCUUUUCAAAAGUUGUGGUUAUGGACCCCAAACUAAUUUAAAUAUAUAACAGCCCCCUAUGUUUUGAUUCUUUGGCAGUUUUGACCCCCCAAGGCAAAAUAAAAAUAAAAAAUUUGACACGUGGCACCUCACUUAAGGUGCCACGUCAACUUGACCGAGUCAACACUGGACUGGGGGUUCAAAACUGCCAAAGAAUCAAAACAUAGGGGGCUGUUUUGUAUUUAAAUUAGUUAGGGGUCCAUAACCGCAACUUUUGGAAAGAUAGAGGUCCAAAAGUGCAAUUAAGCCAAAAGAAAACUACAACUAAUUAAAAAAAUUGAGAUUUUCUUUUCAAAUUAUAUAGAUAGAACAAUGUAAAACCACAUUAAAAACACCUCCAACACUCUACGAUCUUUUGUAUUUCAUAAUCCGAAACAGGCUGGAGGAUGGAAAAAGAAACACAUUGCAACACGAGUACGGGCACGAGAAUACGACAAUUUUUAAAAAUUAUUAAGGCACAUGUAUGUCAAUAAAAAUAUCAUAAUAAAAUUUUGAAUUGGUUACAACAACAAUAUGUCGUUGAGUAAAAAAAUGAUUUGAAUACAUUCAAAUCAAAUACGUUUUUUUUAGUGUUUGAUUUGUGUUGGUUCAGUUUGCAGUUUUUUUAUUGGAUUGAUUCCGUUUUGAAAACCUUAUAACUAUUUUUUUUAGUAGUUUUUUGUUAUUUUAAUGAAUUAACGUUGUAAUUCACUUUUUGAGUGUUCAAACAAGAGUUUUGAUACCAGGAAGAGUGUUGUAAAUGUGAAGAAAUAUAAACAAGACUUUUACUAUAAACAUAAAUUAAAUAUAAAACUUCCAAAAUAAAUAAAUAAAUAAAAUAUUACUGAGGAUCUCCUUGUAAAAUUUCAAUUUUGCAAGUAAUGGCUGAUUAAAAAACUUUUCGUAAUGAAUGUACUUGAUCUAAAAACUUCCCAUACAUGCCACAAUAUUCUACAAUGGCAAGUCACCUAACUAUUCAAUGUAGUUCAGAUUUGAUAGAAUUUCCAAGUUGAUGUAAGUUUGGAAUUCUAGCUAGGAAAUUGGUUACAAAGUUGGCGAAAUAAAAAGAAAUCAACAAUAAAUUAUUCCCAUAUGAACCAAAAUUGAGUAAAACAAUUAUCUCAGAUAAACUACCUCUACCAAACAUGUCAAUAGUCAACUUGGUUGUUUCAACUUCCAUAUUUCUUCUCAAAGUUCUUCCUUCUUAAACUCUCACUCACUCACUCACUCAUCAUGAACCAAGAAUAAUCAAAUCUACACAAUGGCAUCUUGCUUGAAACCACAAAGCAGCAAUGAAGAUGAUUCUGUCAUACUCUUUUCAACUUCUAAUUCUUCCAUUAGUCCUUCUUCCUCUUCUUUCCAUCAUUCACCACCACCAACUUCAUACAAACUUUCUAUUAAUAACCUCACCUAUACUUUGCACCCUUAUAAAACCAUUCCCUUUUCAUUUAAAAGCCUUACUCAAAAACCACAUCCUGUAAACAUACUCAAAUCUGUUUCUUUUGUUGCCAGAACUUCCGAAAUUGUCGCAGUUGUCGGACCUAGUGGCACAGGCAAAUCCACCCUUCUUAGAAUAAUCGCGGGGCGAAUAAAAGACAAAGAUUUCAACCCCAAAACUAUCUCAAUCAAUGAUCACCCUAUGAGUACUCCAUCUCAGUUAAGAAAAAUAUGUGGCUUUGUUUCACAAGAAGACAACUUGCUUCCACUUCUAACAGUGAAAGAAACUUUGCUAUUUGGUGCAAAGUUUAGGCUAAAAGAAAUGACACCAAAAGAAAGAGAAUUAAGAGUAGAAAACUUAAUGCAAGAGUUAGGACUUUUUCAUGUAGCACAUAGUUUUGUUGGUGAUGAUGAAAAUAGAGGUGUCUCUGGUGGUGAAAGAAAAAGGGUAUCAAUUGGUGUUGAUAUGAUUCACAAUCCACCAAUUUUAGUCUUGGAUGAACCAACAUCAGGACUUGAUAGUACCUCAGCUCUUCAUGUUAUUGAGCUUCUUUCUUCAAUGGUUAAAUCAAAGCAAAGGAUAGUGAUACUUUCAAUUCAUCAACCUAGCUAUAGAAUAUUGCAAUAUAUUUCUAAGUUCUUGAUCCUUUCUCAUGGUUCAGUAGUUCAUAAUGGUAGUUUGGAAUCACUAGAGGAAAGAAUAUCUAAUUUGGGAUUUCAAAUUCCAUUGCAACUUAAUGCCCUUGAAUUUUCAAUGGAAAUUAUACAAAGUUUAGAAGAUAAUUCUAGUAGUUUCAUCGUCCACGAAAACGAAACUUCUUUUCCAAGUUCCAUGUGGGCGCCAGAGGAAGAAAACAUUGGAAGCGACGUUUUCCAAUCACAAUAUGAAAAGGAAAAUUUUGGACAUCUUUGUUAUGUAAACAUGAUGGAGAUACUAUUUUUGUGUUCAAGAUUUUGGAAGAUUAUUUAUAGAACAAAGCAACUUUUUUUAGCUAGAACAAUGCAAGCAUUAGUUGGUGGAUUUGGUUUAGCAAGUGUUUAUAUAAAGGUAAGAAAAGAUGAAGACGGAAUUGCAGAAAGGUUAGGUCUGUUUGCAUUUAGUCUCAGUUUUCUCUUGUCUUCAACAGUUGAAGCACUUCCAAUAUAUCUUCAAGAGAGAACUGUUCUAAUGAAAGAAGCAUCAAGAGGAGCUUACAGAAUUUCUUCUUACUUGAUAGCCAACACUUUUGUUUUUCUUCCUUUUUUGUUUGUAGUAUCUUUACUUUUUGCAGUUCCUGUUUAUUGGAUUGUUGGACUCAAUCCUUCACUCACUGCCUUCACUUUCUUCACUUUUGUUGUUUGGCUCAUUGUGCUGAUGGCAAGUUCUUUAGUUCUCUUUUUGAGUUCUGUGUCUCCUGAUUUCAUUUCAGGAAAUUCACUCAUAUGCACAGUUCUUGGAGCCUUUUUUCUAUUCUCUGGAUACUUCAUUCCAAAAGAGAGUAUUCCAAAAUAUUGGCUUUUUAUGUAUUAUGUGUCACUUUAUAGGUACCCUUUGGAUGCAUUACUCACAAAUGAGUAUUGGAAUGUUGGAAAUGAGUGUUUCUCACAAGGCUCUUCUUCAAUGUGUUUGGUUACUGGAUUUGAUGUCUUGAAGAGUAGAGGAAUUGAAAAGGAUAAUAGGUGGAUGAAUGUGGGGAUAAUGUUUGGAUUCUUUGUGUUCUAUCGUUUGCUUUGUUGGGUCAUACUUGCUAGAAAGGCCUCCAAGACUACAAUAUAACACAAACUUGUUUCUAUGUUCAUAAUGUUGUGGACAAAUGAGGCUUUUUCCACAGAAAACCAAUUAUUUGAUGUUUCUUAGGCUAUUAUUUGUAUGAUAUAAUAUACUACAGAUAUAUAAUAUUCUACUUUUAAAAUAUAUGUCUUGUCACUAUCUCCUUAUGAUUGUUCUCUUUUUUUAAUACCUUGAAUAAUAAGAAUUCAAAAUGAGUCUCACAGCUUAUCAUACAAAUAAUAAAUUUGGUGCUGACACAAAGAGAUGGACUUGUGAAUGAAUUAAUUACUUUUUUUUUUUUACAGGAAUGAAUUAAUUACUUGUUUUGAGAGGAGGAAAUGUGUUCUCCUUAUCAUUCAUUUCAAAUGAUCAAAUCUCUACAUUUCUCCCUGCUAGAUUUAAUUCUAUGUACAAAUAAUAAAUUUAUUGAAGAUUCAUUUAUCUAUCUAUUUUUUUCAAGUAGGGAAAUACAUAUAUGUAUCAACAAUCAUCAUACUACCAAUUAAAUCUAAUAGACAGUGCCUUAUCCUCCAAUAUCAGAUAUCAAGCAGCAACCUCAUAUUUAACAAUGCAAGGACUUUAUAUAAUUUCACGAAUACUAUUUCUUAACAACCGAUUUCAUCAUAUAAACAUUUCCCCUUCUACAUCCGUAUUCCAUUGUUUUCACAUUCAUGAGCACGUGCAGGUUAGAUGAAGAAGAAUACUUUGCUCAAAAUAUAUAUAUAUAUGUGAAUAUAUUUUUCACAUGAAGCUUUGGUUACUGCUAUCGCCUGCACUGCUAUCAUAAAAAAUAAAACUUAAACAUGCAGUCAUAAAGUUUAGGAUUUUGUUAAAAGCCAUUUUGCUACUAAAUCACACUGACUGAAGUCAUAACUAACAUAAAAUAGUUUAUGGUACUACCUCUUGCGCUUGGUUUUGGAGCUACUAGAGGAUGGGGAGUUAGCAUGCCAGUUCCUUUUCCUUUGAUUAAUAAACCAGUUAUUUAUUUGCUUUAAUUGCAAGCCUGUUUCUUGCACCAAUCUAGCCUUAUCUUCCUCCUAUAAAACAAUUCAUAUAUAUUCACAAGUGCAACACAAAGUAUGAAAUGAACAUAGCCAACAUAAUAAUAUUGAUGAUAUCUUACAGUUGGAUAGGGCCAUUUAGAAUGUGAUUGCCACCAAGCUUUCAAAAGAGAUGUGGUGUCCCCAGGGAGUUUC
rnacentral:lncRNA from 1 species